rnacentral:rRNA from 1 species
UACAGAGGGGGCAAGCGUUGUUCGGAAUUACUGGGCGUAAAGGGCGCGUAGGCGGCCUUCUAAGUCGAACGUGAAAUCCCCGGGCUCAACCCGGGAACUGCGUCCGAUACUGGAAGGCUUGAAUCCGGGAGAGGGAUGCGGAAUUCCAGGUGUAGCGGUGAAAUGCGUAGAUAUCAGGAGGAACACCGGUGGCGAAGGCGGCGUCCUGGACCGGUAUUGACGCUGAGGAGCGAAAGCCAGGGGAGCAAACGGG